rnacentral:lncRNA from 1 species
UGAAGGCUUACAGUGGGAAUCUGGUGCGGACCGCUCGUAGUAAAAAUUUGAAGUAGAUAGUUUGUAGCAGAAGCUCAGAGUGGAUCGCUUGCAGUAGAAGCUCGGAGUCCGAUCCUUGUAGGAGUUUGGGUGAGGUCUACCUGCAACAAGAGUUCAGGGUAGAAGUCUGGCUCCCGUAGGAGCUCGGACGAAGUCUACCUGUUCGGGGGAGA